CUCGCUCUUCCAUACUCGUUGGUGACAGCGCAAGAGGUGUGAUUUGCGCAUUAGGUGAGCUCAGGUUUAAAAUGCCAGUUGAUUGAGGUGUGGACUUGCGGAUGGUAUAAGAACGUUUAAGAGACAGUUGGUUAGCUUUAUGUUAACUUGAAACAUGGCAGAGUCGUUAGAAAGAGAAACCUCAACUGAGAAAAACGCUGCUUCCAAAUUGGCCUGUGGGAAUAUUUUGAUUACUGAUCAAUGCGGGAGGGCCCAUCUGAAUGUGUGCUGCUGCCACCCCUGGGCCGGUGGUCUUUCGGUAUGUGAAAAAGGCUGAGUGAACUAGCCAGAAAGCAACAUUCCUUCAGAGCUUCUUCAGUUCCUGCCUCAAGUUCCUUUGAUGAUGGGCUGUGAUGUGGAAGUGUAAGCCAAGUAAACUCUUUCCUUCCUAAGUUGCUUUUGGUCAUGGUGCUUAUAACAGUAAUAGAAACCCUAGUAAGAAAGGUAUUGGACACUUGCUUUUUGUACUGUGGGCUUGUCCCUCGUGGGAUCGUUAAAUUUACUAUUUUUCAAUGUGGACUUGAAAAAGUCUGGUUAGCUUGUGAGAGGAGUAAUUCUCUGAGUAAUGUAAACCUACAGAAGAGUUUUAAUUUUCUAAUAUUUUAAAGAGUUUUAUAGUUUUCCUCUUUAUAUCUUUUAUUAAAUUACUUUAUUUACAUUCCAACCCCCCCCCCCAUCCUGACUCCCCCUCCCGGAGUUCUUUAAGCCCUCCUCCCAACUCUGAGAGGGUGCUCCCCCAUCUGCUUCCACCUCACAUUUCCGCUUAGGUCAUCCCCAUUGAGUCCUAGUAGCCUCUCACAUCCCAGAUCUCUGGGACUUUCUAGAGGUUCCCCAUGGGCCCUAACCUCCACUGCUGCAUGUUGAUUAAUUCUCCUGGCCCUCUGGGCAUCCCUCCUUUCCAUACCUGAUCCCGCCCCUUCUUUUCCCCUUCCUCUCACCUCUCCGACCCAAUUUCCUCCCUCUGCCUCCCAUGAUUAUUAUUCCUCUUCGAGGUGGAUUUCAGGUAUCCACACUUGGGCCUUCCUUCUUGUUAAAGUCUGUGAGUUGUAUUGUGGGAAAGAGUAAUUUCCCACCAUUUCAAGACUCUGGGUUACUCCCCUCAUCCACAAUUUUUGAUACCCUGUUUCAAAACAAAGAAACCAACAAAAUUCAAAAAGCCGGUUGUGGUUACUUAGGAGGCAUAGGAAGAUCAGAAGUUAAAGGCCAUCCUCAGGUACAUUGUAAGUUCAGGGAGAUCCUAGUUGAUAAGAAAGCCCAUUUCAACCCCAAAACUCAAACCUGUGUGGCAUGAAAGUUUGAAUCUCAGCACUUGAAGGAUGGAGGCUGGAAGAUCAGGAGUUCAAGGGCAUCCUCACUUACUUAAGUUCCAGACGCAUUUGCCCUACAUGAGAACUGUCUCAACCAAACAGGACAAAAGCCACUAUAAACAUUUCUGUUUUGUUUUUUAUUAUCAUGUGACUUUCCUUACAAUAAAUACUUCAGAAGUUA
rnacentral:lncRNA from 1 species